rnacentral:rRNA from 1 species
AGGACGAACGCUGGCGGCGUGCUUAACACAUGCAAGUCGAGCGGUAAGGCCCUUUCGGGGGUACACGAGCGGCGAACGGGUGAGUAACACGUGAGCAAUCUGCCCUUCACUUCGGGAUAAGCCUCGGAAACGGGGUCUAAUACCGGAUAUGACCAUGCCAUGCAU